AUUGAACGCUGGCGGCAGGCCUAACACAUGCAAGUCGAACGGUAGCACAAAGAGCUUGCUCCUGGGUGACGAGUGGCGGACGGGUGAGUAAUGCCUGGGAAAAUGCCCGAGGGAGGGGGACAACUACUGGAAACGGUAGCCAAUACCGCAUAACGUCGUAAGACCAAAGUGGGGCACCUUCGGGCCUCACACCCUCGGAAGUGCUCAGAUGGGACUAGCUAGUAGGUGGGGUAAUGGAUCACCUAGGCGACGAUCCCUAGCUGGACUGGGAGGAUGACCAGCCACACUGGUACUGAGACACGGUGCAGACUCCUACGGGAGGCAGCAGUGGGGAAUAUUGCACAAUGGGCGCAAGCCUGAUGCAGCCAUGCCGCGUGUAUGAAGAAGGCCUUCGGGUUGUAAAGUACCUUCAGCGAGGAGGAAGGCAUUAAGGUUAAUAACCUUGGUGAUUGACGUUACUCGCAGAAGAAGCACCGGCUAACUCCGUGCCAGCAGCCGCCGUAA
rnacentral:rRNA from 1 species